rfam:Tilletiaria anomala TBC 951 K437scaffold_28, whole genome shotgun sequence.
GCCCUCUUAGCUCAGUGGCUAGAGCGUCUGCCUAGUAUUUCAAGCUUCGAAUAUGAAGUUGCUAGGAAGCAGAAGGUCACUAGUUCAAUUCUGGUAGAGGGCA